CUAAAAACUGCCCCACAACUAAUUUUCCUUCUCUUUUCUUUAGGUAUGCCAAUUUUGUGUGCAUGUUCCUUUGGAAUGUUGAAAUGAAUAUGGUAAAUGAAUAGUAAAGUCAAGACACUGCAAAAACAAAAAACAUUGAAAGAGAAUUUUCACGGACUGAUGAACUGAGACCUGAAACGCAACUUAUGGAUCAGAACCAGUGGUGAUCAGAUACUGUAUGCUGGAUCUCCAUCUUUGAGACUGAUGUGUCUAAAGCAAAAUACAAACUGCUGGGGGGUUCCUGGAACUACAGAACAACUUGCUGUCAGAGCAACUUGCACCAUCACAAGGUUUUACAGUGUGAGUGAUGCUAAUUUUUCAGCCUAAAAACUAACCAAACAUUGAAAUCCUGCUACUUCUGAACUGACAUCAUCCAGGUAAACAAGAACACCUGACAUCACUGAUCAGUGACUUACAUACCACAUCACUGAGACCCACAUCACAUUAAGCCCUAGGAAAUGAAAAGGGUGAGCCAUACCUGACUCUAAUGUGUCUGUUCCCUACUAGUGUGCUGGCAUCCAUCCUCAGAGAGUGCUGGGCCCUGACUCACUCCGUGUAUGGUUUUCUGCUGGUGACCCAGAGAUAGAUGUGGUGGCUGCAAUUGGUUUCUCCUUGAGUAGACUGAACUCUAUAGGGAUUAAUCAGUGAUCCUGCUUGGUUCUAACAAACACUCUCAUCUUCUUGACUUUGAGCCAUGGAUACAGGUCACAAAUAAAAACAUUAGAAGAGCUUGACUCAGUGAUAGAAAAAUUCACUACAUGAAGUGUUUUCCAUUUUUGUGAGAUCUUUUUAUCACAUUGCUUGAAGAGCUCAGGUUUGCCAUUCCUCUUGCUGUGUGAGAGGCUAAACAGUUUGCUCCACAUGCUUACUGCCUGACUAGCCAUAAGGUAGAAUGAUACAAAGAUGGUAACAGAUAUUCAAAAUUAAAAGGUUACUUACGAGGAAAAAUUCACCAAUAUGGAUGCCUUCACUGGGAAAUGCUGAGGCAAUCUCCACCAGGGAGCAAUCUCCAAGAGAUGCUUCCUAUGUGGUGGUCAGCCCUGAAAUGAGGUCUAGAGGAGAUGGAGUCAAGCUCCACCCCUUCUGGGAGCACAGCUAAAUUACUCUCACCUUGCUCCCACAGCUGACCCAACACCUGCCUCAGCUGAUUAAUCAGAAGUUCAGGCUGUGAUUAUCAGUUUCCCAUACAUUAGCUUAGAGGUGUUCUUGCAUUAUAUCAGUUGGUAAGCAAGUUCUUGUCAAAGCCAGAGUUCAAAGAUUGUGUGGGGUUCUUGUUUUCCUUCAGUGUAGCUAGUCUGGUAUUUUCUACAUGAAUGAAAAUCAUUCAUUGAAUUCUCAAAGCCACUCUUUAACUAUGCACCUUUGGCUAUUAACCCUGUAGGUUUCUUUUGUAGAUGAGAAAGCUUCUUUCCAGCAACAUAGCAGCCUGGAAAACCAGCCCUGCAGGGUAACACCCAGCCCCUGCUUUAAAUGUCAAGGAGAAAAACAUCUUUGUAUUGCAGAGCAGUCACAGCAGCUUCGCUUCUGACCUGGUAGUCUUGGAUGGAAGCAGGGUGAAAGAAUAACUGCUCUGCUGUGGGAUUUGGGGGAAAGUGAAGCCUACACCCUAUCUGUAACUGCCUAAUGGUAUGUGAUAGUUCAGAUUUGAAAAAGAAACCUUUUAAAUGGGAGCCUUCUGAUUUAGUGAGCUGGAAUCCUACUGAGGGGAGGGAAGGAGGUCAAAGGGAACAGAGAUGAGGGAAGACUCUGUCAUAAGCUUUUCCUUCUGUUACCUGCAGGCACAUUUAAACCAGCUGUUGAUGUAUUAAAAAAAACCAAAAACUUUUAAGCAUCCAAAAUAUAUGCAUUAAAACCUGACACAUCUAUUCUGUUAGUUUGUACCAAGUGUUUAGAAACAGCACCCUCUACUUUCAGUACUCUACAAAGGCAGUGAUGUCUGGAGCUUUCCCCUUGCCAUCCCACCUGGUAACAUCCGUGGUACGCAGACCUAGUUCAGUGCUUGUUCCUCCUCCUGAGGGUGAGGACUUGACAAGGGUGGAGUCCUGCCCCAUUGGAAACCUGGGCUGUGGGAUGCACUCCUUAGGUUUCUGCUGCUUCCAUACACUGACGUUGACACCUGCUGUCUUGCCUACAUUCAUCUCACAGAAUUAACUGAGGGACUGGGUCCCCCAGGUCAGCACUGGGAAACAUCAGUAAAACCAGUGGAACUGAUGGUGCCAAGUCCAGUGUCCAUAGCAAUAUUUUAAGUUGGAGGAGGCAAGACAAUCAAUUGUGAGAAUGGGCAGUGCUGGCCCUCAGUCCUUCCCUUGCUCCCCUCCCCUCUUAUUUAUAGGUUUCUAAUUUCCGCUGGAUAAUGAAUAUCACUCUUCAUUAUAAUUAUGUUAAAAGGUACCAGCAUGAUGAUUCAGAAACCCUUGAAGAUAUAGUCAUAUUUUCAGCAACAGAUGGAUUUAACACUGCAGAUGGAGUGUUAAGAGUGCAGAGGUGUCUCAUGAGGUUCCUGCUCAGAGAUGCAUGCUGGCGGGUUGCAAUACCACUGAGAACGGAAGGUCCAAAGCUGCAGCAGGGAUAAGGAACUUGGAAAAUGCAACUGGUGCGGAAGAGCGAGCAAGGUCACUGGUGACAAGGCUCUGCUCCAUCUGUGCAGGCACACUCUUGAGCAGAAGCAUUCCAGCAACAUGGCAUUUUGUCACAUUAUUCCAUUCCUUAUAAAUUUCAAUAGCCAGCUACUUGCCUGCCUUUGGUUGGGAAACAAAGCCCCUCUUUGUUCAGCAACACAACGUGGCUAUCUCAUGUAAUGGAGAAAUGAAAUGCAAAUAACACAGGAAUUGUGCUUGUCUGGGGAAGAAGGAAGCAUUGUCUGGUGACAAGAGCAGAAGAAAGUGGUGUUGCCCAGAGCUUCUGACUGUCAGUACUAAAAGGUGGAAGAAACCACCAUCCGUGGAGUCUUCUGAUAACACUGACAUUGAAACCUCCCAUGUCCUCAUUUCAUCAUUCCCAGAAUGGGGACCAAAAUUAAUCUGCUCUUUUAUGCAAUUCAGCAAAGCAUUUUAAACUGUGCUUUUUAAGUAUACAAGAUGUCCAACUGGCUACACAGAGCAACCUUCACACUGAGUCUUUUCUGCACCAUCCCACCUCUUUGCUGCUUCCGAGGUCAAAUUCAUAGGAGAUGUUCUGCAGAGUGAGCAGAGAGUGAGGAAGAUGCUCAGCAGAGAAGCAAGAGGCUCUCCAUUUCAAAUUCUUCUAUCACCAAAUCUCAGUAGUCCUCAAGCUAAUUACCACAGCACUGAAAAUCAAGCUGUUCUUGGAGUACGGUGUGGUCUUGGCUUCAUCUGAUGGCCAGUUCCCGAUAACUGAGGCAAGGCAGCACUUGGUUCAGAACAGCAAGACUCACAUUAAUCUGGUUUCUUCUUCAGUAGGGAGGCUGUCAAGACUCCAUGGGACCAGAUCCCAUGUCCACUCAGCUCUUCUACCUCCAGCAGCCAUUGAGACUGAAAAUCUGGUGGUUAAUCUCCACCCCAGCUCCUCUCCCAAACAGCCACGGGCAUGUGAUGUCAUCUCCAGGUCUCUGACACAGGGCUGGAGGGAGCCACAGGGACCUGCAGUACAACAGCUCAGGAUGAAGAAGCAGUGUAUCUACUCUGUGUAUGUGGAGAGAGCACUCAAACACCCGGCCACUACUGCAUUAUAACAAGAUCAAAGAGAGAUGGAUCUGAUUUCUAAGCUAACAGGUGACAGUGCUUCAAAGUCCUGCUAAGAAGUGCACCCACCUUGCUGCUGCUUGGAUCAGCCUUCGACAAUGAAUUUUCCAUCCCUACAAGAACUGUCUUUGUUUUGCAUGAUGUUAAAGGACGGAUGCUGCCAAACAUGCAUGAUGACACAGAAAGCCUAGAGGAUAGUCUUACUGCACAGCUGACAGAUGGCAAGCACACAGUCCAAGGGACGCUUUACAUCUACAUCAUGCCAGUCAACGAUGAAAUCCCUCAUCUUUCCAGAAAUCAUCUCCAGGUCUGACUCUAGCAGGGUCUGAAUCCCCAUUCUCAGAACACAGGAAGGCUGUUUGAUCACAAAAUACUUGGUGGACUCUAGUUGGAAAGUGUCUCCAUUCCUUGUCUUGGUUUGUUUCAACUUCUUGGAAGCUGAAGCUGCUGAGCAAAGCCAUUUCCAGUGCAAAGUCAGAAAAAACAUCCUGCUCUGUUCAGGUGACAUUGUUCUACUCGCCAAACCUGUAACUUUAACAGAGGGUGACAGGGUGACCUUGACGACAGAUGUUCCUGUGGCAACAGAUGGCACUAGCAAACCCGAGAAGCUGCUGUACGCCGUCUCCGUGCCACCUGUGCAUGGUCAGAUUGAGCACAUCAAUUAUCCCGGCGUGCCCAUUCCCAGACACAGCCGGUUGGAUGUGGUGGCCCAGAAGGUCCCCUCUCUCCAUGACAAUAGCCGUGAGGCUGGGAAGGAGCCACUCAGGGGAUGGUUCUGACUUGUCUUGACCCUCUGAAAAGACCUGAAGUUUCUCUUUGAAGGCUGCUGACCCAAAGUGCUGUAGUACCAGGAUGUAAUGAAGAGAGAAAACACUCCAGCAAGUGCAGUGGAUAGGAAUGGCAGGAAGUUCCUCAAAGCCCUUGGUCUCGUGCCCUUCCCAGCAGAGAAGAUAAAGUCCUGAAGGAAAGAAAUCACUGCUUUUGGGACUGCUUCUGAUUUGUGUCUGCAUGCUGCCAGAGUGUCCUCUGCUUUGCAUGUAAGAAAGAAAAUGAAGAAAACUUUCUAUGGAGUUUAGCCAUUGGGGCAGCUCCUAAAUCCACUCGGAUCUCUUCCUCUAUUGCUCUUUUUAGGUGGUGUGUAUCAUCGAGAUUCCAUGUAGCUUAAUCAAUCAGUUCAAAUGCUGUCAUAAGAUCCACCUGAUUGUGUUUCAGUUGAUGAAUGCAGGCCUCUCAGAAUGUCCGAGUUCAGCAUGAAAAAUCACCUUUCUUCUUAAAAAGUGAAGGAGAACAUACAUCACAGAUCAGAGUAUAAGAUUCCUCUGUUCUGCCCCAAAAUCAAUGACACUAAUAGGAUAGCAAGAGAACGGAGCCUACAUGAUGGGUGAAAUUGGCAAGCAGAUUAACAUGGGCAGCUGCAUUGGCUUAUUUCAACAUUAAACACAGACUACUUGUUCUAAUGCACAGCAAAAAAUGUUUGCAUGGUAUAUCAUGGCAUGGAUAACCUUCAUGGAUCUCCUUCGGCAGGAAGUCAUGCACAGCCCAUUGAAACACCUCUUGUGUAUCCUUACACCUCUCUCUGGAAUAACCAUGAAAUAGACUGUCAUAAAUAGAGGCCAGCUUAAGACAAAGUGAGGAGCAAGCAGAAUCUAUCAUGCAGAGCGGCACCAGAAGGGUGUAGUGGCAAAACAAAUCCUCCCAAGAGCAAACCCCUCACCAUGCAGGACCUAAGAGAGGCUCAGCCUUGGAUGCCAGCUUCCCUCUCAUCAACAGUCACCUGUUUUCACAGCAGAGGUGAGGAUCAUCCUCUCUGAGCACGUGGAAAACUCCAAACCAGGUCCUAGCUGAGAAACCAGACCCUUGGAUGGAGGAUGAAGUUCAUCCCACAAUGUGGCUGAAUGGCACAGGCUGGCAGGUCACCCCACAGGACGCUUGGACAGAAACGCAGGUGCAGCUGGGCCUCCAAGGUGCUCAGCAUAGCAGGAGAGCGGGCUGUUCUCCAGGGAGCACUGAUCCAAGGCAAUAAGGCAAACAAAGGGAGCACAGAGAAUACAGGCACUUAGUGGAGGACUGACAAGUGGCACACAAUGGGACACAGAAGGCACUCACUCCCUGCCCUGUGCAUUGCAUCAUGACACCUUGCAAAUAACAGACGUCUUCCAUACAAUGGGAUACCCAGACCUGGAGGUGUUACAUGGAGCAGUGAGCCACAUCCUGAUGUCCAUGGACUACAGUGAGUGGUGCUGGUGGAAGAGCAGAGCCAGCAGUUCUCUGCCCAUGGGCAUAGUUGGGAGUAGAGCAGUCUGAGGGCAGAAAAGCACCAAAAUGACUUGAAAUAAAGUGGUAGAGGAUUGAUUUGCACAAAACUUCAUCCUGUGCCCAUGAAAAUGUUGGGACAGCUGGCAAAGACAGGUGUUUCCAUAAAAACUCGGGACAGCCACAUUAAGGAAGAUGGCCUGAAAGAAAAUCAUGCAAAUUAUACCAAGCACACCUAAAAACACUGUCCUGGGGCAAGACAGUGAGCUCACAGCAGGAACGAGGGAGCUGCAGACAGGAGCAAAGAUUGUGCUGUGCUGGGAUGCGUUUCAAAUGGUUCCUGACUCAGACCCUGCUCUGCUUGCAGAAAGGUGCCUUCAUGUCUCCGCUUGCUUUUACAUGGUGGGAGGAUGCAGCUGUGUGCUACGGAGCAGGUGACAUAUUUCACCCCAGAGAUGGCUGCAAUUUGCAGGAAAUCUAUUGCUUGUAAUCUUCAUAAUUGCAUCGGAUGUUCUUGCUAAAGAUGUGCAGCCCUGGGUCAGCCUCACAACGAGGGCCUCGAGGGGAGCUUCGCAGUCAUGCAGGGGCUCAGAUAUGACAGCUAUUGGCAGAGCUAGAAAGAGAGUCAGACCAUAAUGGUCCAUUUUGGAAUUUAAAUUUGGUGGAUUUGAGGUAAGUAACGUAACCGAGCUGCCUGGUUUUCAAAGGAUGGUUUACUUCUUUGGAAAGUACAGUGUGUUUUUGGAAAGCGUACAGGCAUCUUUCAGGAUGAAGGCCUCUGUGCAACAAUCAAGUUUUUACCUUUUAAUUAACAAAGCUUCAUAAAGAAUUUCAAUUCAGAAUUACUAAACAAAGAAACUAUACAAGCCCCAGAUGAUAUCUAAACAGUUUCCAAAAGACAUUAAAAAAGAGAAAAAUACCAGGCCACAUGUUUUUUCUUACGUCUCUUGAGCCCAUUUAUUCCAGACAUCUGACAUGCAAUUCAAAUUUCCAAUAGUUUUAGGUAACCAUGUCCAAUUUAGAAACCGCAGCCUUCAGCUAAGCCUACCUACCUACAAAUCAGUCUAGAAAACCAGAGCACUUGCUGAUACUAUGCAUUUUCAGAUUUGCAGAGCUUUGUUAUGUGUGUGCCAUGUAUACUUGAGUUUUCUGGCUCCGUGCAAUCCAUUUAGAUGUAUUUCAUAGACCUGUAGUCAGUGGUCACAGUUGGAUAAAUUAUAGUUCCUAAUGGAGGGCUUGUUUGUGCUCUCAGAGAGUAAAACCGCUAUAAAAUUGAUCUCCUCUUUUGAGCUGCCUUUGACGGGGUUUGUCGUAUGGCAGUUUAGAUGAGAUGGAAGUGACGGGCUCCCUGUGGAUGGAGGACUAAUGAACUUUAUUUCUGGCUUGGAGACUAGGAUUGAAUUCUUAACUUCCCUGCGCCUGAGCUUUCUUAUCUCAAAAGUGGAGACUAAAUAAUGUCUUCAUGGCAGACAAAAGCAAACUUCAGAGGAAAUCUGAAGUUUGGGUAUGGGUCCUGCCAUGUGCCCUUCCCUAAUUCCCUACAGCAAACAGCUGGGUGAUUAUUUCAGGGCAUUAGAGAUGAGGCAGGGAAGGCAUGAGGCACAAGAGCUGCAUUAGGCACUGGUUUCCACUUCAACCUGAUCAACAUCACCUGGAGAGGUUCCUGCAGAGGUCAUGGUCAAACAUCCACUCUUUCAGGGCCCUCAGGAAAUACUACAAGGCCAGGUGUUACUUCCCAGAAAGUUCAGCUGAACAAAAAUUAUGGAGCAGUUUCUCUGCUGCUAAACCCCAAACUCAGCAGAGACUUUGUCAGCCUUGAACAGUGAAUCUUAUUCGGCUGGGAAGUGGCCAUCACUUCAUCCUGUAAUCUUUCAUUCAUCUCAUCUAUUUUAAUCUUUCCAGUUCUCUUUCCAGUGGGAGCUCUCAUAGGCAGUCACAAACCCUGCUACUGAGGGAAAAAUAGGAUUUGAAACAAAUUUGUCACUGUUAAUUUCUUUCAAGUUGUUUCAUGAGUCAGAGGAUGCAGCUCUCGGUGGUGAAACAUCUGUUCAUCUGCAGCACAAAGACAGCCUCUGACACAGUGACUGGGAAGAGGCCAAGAGUGGAGUUGGGCUCUGGUAAGGAGAGGGGACUGAGAGGGCUAAGGGGAGAGCUGGAAAAGUCACCUGAUCAUUCUGAUACCUCCCAAUAGUUUUAUCUGGGCAUUCCCCCCAGUCUCCUGCUUGUGGAUGUGACAUGAGCAGAGGCAAUAGCUUUUCUUAAAAAUAAUCAUAGAAUCAUAGAAUGGCCUGGGUUGAAAAGGA